UAGGGGAAUGAAACCUCACUUUCACCCGCAGGAGUAAUCGCAGCCGAUUUCCCUGGCGGUAUGAGGCCUUCUGACAGCCAUGAAGUGUCCCAGCUAAAUG
rfam:Sporomusa sp. An4 isolate Sporomusa ovata strain An4 genome assembly, contig: SPAN4DRAFT_scaffold-5